GGUACCCUUGGGUUGUUAGGCCAGUUUAUAGAAUGCCUUGCAAAUUCCAGCCUUUUACGAUACUUCAGAUUGGGGAAGUUGUUGAUGGACGGGAGGAAUCAAAUCGCUUUUCCUAAAUGAUGUUCAAAAUGAUUAUGAUCCAUCAUGACAAACAAACAGUGCAUAUUUCGGUGGAUAGCGCAAGUGUUAAGACAUCACCCUUUAGUUAGCAUUUUUCUUCUGUUUCAUGUAUUUUCUGUAG